rnacentral:rRNA from 1 species
UGCUUUACUCUUGCUGCUUUUAAGAUUCUCUUUGUCCCCAAUCCUGUCUGAUCUCGGAAGCUAAGCAGGGUCGGGCCUUGUUAGUACUUGGAUGGAAGGCCACUUAGGAAGACCAGGUGUUGUAGGCG